UACAGAGGGGGCAAGCGUUGUUCGGAAUUACUGGGCGUAAAGGGCGCGUAGGCGGCCUUUUAAGUCGAACGUGAAAUCCCCGGGCUCAACCCGGGAACUGCGUCCGAGACUGGAAGGCUCGAAUCCGGGAGAGGGAUGUGGAAUUCCCGGUGUAGUGGUGAAAUGCUUAGAUAUCGUCAAGAACACCAAUAGUGAAGACAGCUUACUGGGCUUAAACUGACGCUGAGGCACGAAAGUGUGGGGAUCAAACAGG
rnacentral:rRNA from 1 species